rnacentral:rRNA from 1 species
GCGCGGCCCAUAUCCGGCGGUGGAGGCGGCCCUGCCGCCCGCACGCUCCGGCCGUCUGCCCCGCGG